rnacentral:tRNA from 1 species
UAGCUCAGUCGGUAAAGAAUCUGCCUGCAAAGCAGGAGACCCGGGUUCCAUUCCUGG